rnacentral:rRNA from 1 species
UACGUAGGGGGCAAGCGUUGUCCGGAUUUAUUGGGCGUAAAGAGCGUGUAGGCGGUCUGGUAGGUCCGUUGUGAAAACUCGAGGCUCAACCUCGAGACGCCGAUGGAAACCAUCAGACUAGAGUCCGGAAGAGGAGAGUUGAAUUCCUGGUGUAGCGGUGAAAUGCGCAGAUAUCAGGAAGAACACCCGUGGCUAAGGCGGCUCUCUAGUACGGUACUGACGCUGAGACGCGAAAGCGUGGGGAGCGAACAGG